GAUGAACGCUAGCUACAGGCCUAACACAUGCAAGUCGAGGGGAAACGAAGCGGGAGCUUGCUUCUGCUGUCGUCGACCGGCGCACGGGUGAGUAACGCGUAUCCAACCUGGCCUGAGGUAAGGGAUAAUCCGCAGAAAUGUGGUCUAAUACCUUAUGUGCUCCUAUGAGGCCAUCUGAAGAGGAGCAAAGAUUUAUCGCCUUAGGAUGGGGAUGCGUCUGAUUAGAUAGUUGGCGGGGCAACGGCCCACCAAGUCAUCGAUCAGUAGGGGUUCUGAGAGGAAAGUCCCCCACAUUGGAACUGAGACACGGUCCAGACUCCUACGGGAGGCAGCAGUGAGGAAUAUUGGUCAAUGGGCGAGAGCCUGAACCAGCCAAGUAGCGUGCAGGAUGACGGCCCUAUGGGUUGUAAACUGCUUUUAUGCGGGUAUAAAGGAGCAUACGUGUAUGUUUUUGCAGGUACCGC
rnacentral:rRNA from 1 species